GCCCAUCUCCUGAUUUAAAUUCACAGCUUGGCGCCAACAUAAAAAAAAGAAACUCCUCAGAGGAAAGUAAUAACUAAAUAUUUAUGCCAAGUAAGGUCACCACUGCAUAUUGGAGCAUUAGCAGAGAUGGCUUUGAAGAAGCUCACAAAACUGACACUCAGAAUUACUGCGGAGAAAGACCCACACACGUUAGCACCAUACAGGGUACUGUGAACAAUUUGUACUGAAAUAUUCGUCCUCUGUGAGAUGGAAGCUCUUGAGAGAGAGACAAAUAGGAUGCAAGGAUGACAAUGCUAGCAGGGGGCAGAGGCAGGAACUGGUUUCCAUUCAUACGUGGACAUGCUAGGAAACUUUUUGGCUGCAAAAGGAGCGUGGCCCGUAAGAAUUAAAGGGGGGUGGGGAGGAUGCAAAAGCCACAAAACAAUUGCCGAGUGCUGAAGCGAAGUACAGGUCCUCUUACCCCCUGGUUCCCCUACACGCCCAGGCACCGCUCUCCUGGCUUCUCAGUGACUAGGUUAAUUCCUGGGUAACAUCAGGCUCCCAAAUUAGAGCCCAGCGUUGCUUUUUUGGAAAGCAGACAGCCAUCCAUCAGGCCUUCCACAUGAGCCCUCAGACCUGCAGAAGGGCCAAACCCAGCACCUGUUGCUGAAGCUGUUUAGUUUCUUGAGCCAGUACAACGCGCCCCCUCCCCAGUCCAGAGGAAAUCUCUCUUUAGCAAAGAAACCACCUCCCCCCCAGCAAUGCUUGGAUCCAGGUCUGAAACCACCCACCUCAAAGCCCCGAGUGCUGCUCACCGAGGCUGUGCUUCCAGCCCGUGUCUACUGUUGCUCCAAAGCACGUGUUCGCCAUGCCCGGGGUGCAUGCCUCCGGCUGUGCCCCAUGAGAUCUGGCCAAGCCCCGCACCUCACAGGGGUCCUAUCAUCCUGGAGCCAGUUUGGGGAGGUGCACGCAGUAGCAGAGCGGGACCCAGCUACCCCAUGACCUGCACGCUUCACGCUGGUGCUCGGGCUCUGCGGGCACCGGGGUGCAUGUGCAGCGCGGAGCGUGAUGCCAGCCUGGCGAUGCCCCUGUGACUGCGCUGGGUGUUUGCCGGCCGCGUGCCCGCUUUACCUACCAGCUGUGCAGAGGCGCGUGCUGCUUGUAGGCGCGGGGCCGUGACUGUAUUGUACUGCUGUUUAUGCCGGCGGUAGGCUCAGCCCAGCCAGGUCGGACCCAGAUUGGGGAUCUCAGCUGUCUGGUGGGGGAAGAGCCUGAUCUGGCUCCAGGAUGUGGGGUAUGGUCCAUCUCCAGGGCCCAGGGCUGCUCUUUGGGGCUUAAAGAGAGCACGAGGGAGGUGGUGGGGUCAGGGCCGCUUUCUGGUCUAAUAAGAGCAGACGGGCCGGGCUCUGUGCCCAAAGACCCAGGGCUAGCCCGGUCCCCGCAGUCCAACCAUUUUGGGAACAGCCACUCCCAGCGGUCACUUCCGUGUUGCACAGAAAUGUUAGGCUCCACCUAAAAGAGAGCAGGGAACUCUGCAGUUGGGCUGUAGUCUUGUCUUUAGACAGGGGGAAGGGGUGUUUUUAUAGCACCUGCUUGUACUGCCAGUCGUACCCCCCCCUUCCCACCCCCUGGUUUUUGGACUUACCUGGCUAAGUUUGCAUGUGAUGCUGGACACACGUGGCUGUGCAGGGAGCCACGGGCUGGCAGCCUCCCUGGAUGUGCCGGGGCCCAGCGAAGGAUCACAGCAUCUGCUCAUGCAACCAAUUCCCUGCUUUAAAACCUAAGCCACAAGGACUCACUCUGUUUUGGCAGGGAGAGGGGCCAGCGGCCUUAUCCCAUCACUGAGUUCCUCUGGAGAGAGGCAGUUCUCUGCCGCCGUGGCUGAGCGCGGCUCUGACGCUGCCGAGGCCUGUGGGCGCACCGCAAGCCCUAACGGGGAGGUCAGGCCGGAGAAGCAGAGGUGGGGAUGCCCGCCGACAGGCAGCCACGUGCUGCAGGACCAGGGCAGCGCUCUGCCCAGAGGACAGUCGCAUCGUCCACUCCCCCGAGCUCGUCUCCCUCUCAGCCGCUGGCUUUGCCCCGCGAGACAGCCCGAGCCCGGCAGCACCCCUGCCGUGGUCCCUGGGGUGGGGGGAGCUCCCUGCAGACCAUCGGCUAGGCCUCUCCCAUCCUCCCCGUUGUGCUGCACCCCUGUCCCUCGGGGCUUGUACUGCCCGCAGACACGUCACUUGGGUGCCGUGCGUCCUUAAGCUGCCUCAAGCUAAGGGGGGGGGGUCCCAUUCUGUCAGGCUCUAGGACUGGUCCACGUGCCCCAGGAUGAAGUGCAGCGUCGGCCACGCAACUUAUGUCUGUAGCCACGGCCGGACGUCAAGCAUCAGCCGAGCGUACCCGCCGCGCCCAUCCCCGAGCUGUCGUCCUGCCUCUUGGCUGGGCCGGCGUGGAGCCCGGCUGGGUUGGAGUGAGGAGGGAAAGAUGUAAACCUAUCAAAAACAUGCUGAGCACAGGCUUUCCCAACCAAAUCCGGUCCGAGAGGACGCUACACAAUACUCCUAACACGCGCGUGCGCUGGAAGAGGGUUUCAGUCUCACCAAUUGACUUUCACAGGCAACGUGAGCUGUGACAUCGCUGUAAAUUGUGUGUGGUUCUGCAUCAAUUACCAGUACCCCAAAGUGCAGUCUCCAUGGUCACAUAUUCCUCUCUCAUACAUCACUGUGUCUUAAGAUAUACCUCUCUCUCUGUCUGUCUGCUUAGGCUGAUCCUUGUUCCUGAUAAGCAGUCGCUAUGUUUUAUAUCCCUCUUAUAAAGAAAACAAAACAAAAAAAAAAGAAACGAAACCCUUUUUUUUGUAAGUAUGUUUAAAAACAAAAAACCCAGAACAAAACCAAGAGCAGUGGAAGUGUUUGCUGAACCUCCUUCAGCGUCUUUUAAACUAUGUAAUAAUGUACAGAGAAAGUCAUUGGUGUUCGAAGACAUGAUGUGGCUGUGCAAUUUAUGUACAUUUGCAAUUAGAAAUAUUAAAGAUUUAUUUAGCUAUUUUA